UACAUGGGGUGCAAACGUUGCUCGGAAUUAUUGGGCGUAAAGCGCACGUAGGCGGUUUGUUAAGUCGGAUGUGAAAUCCCUCGGCUCAACUGAGGAAGUGCAUCCGAAACUGGCAAGCUUGAGUACGAAAGAGGGUCGCGGAAUUCCCGGUGUAGAGGUGAAAUUCGUAGAUAUCGAGAGGAACACCGGUGGCGAAGGCGGCCAACUGGACGAAUACUGACGCUGAGACUCGAAAGCGUGGGGAGCAAACAGG
rnacentral:rRNA from 1 species